rnacentral:rRNA from 1 species
GACGUAGGGGGCGAGCGUUGUCCGGAUUCAUUGGGCGUAAAGAGCGCGCAGGCGGCUUGGUAAGUCGGAUGUGAAAUCCCGAGGCUCAACCUCGGGUCUGCAUCCGAUACUGCCCGGCUAGAGGUAGGUAGGGGAGAUCGGAAUUCCUGGUGUAGCGGUGAAAUGCGCAGAUAUCAGGAGGAACACCGGUGGCGAAGGCGGCUCACUGGACCGGUUCUGACGCUGAGGCGCGAAAGCGUGGGGAGCAAACGGG